UACGUAGGGCGCGAGCGUUGUCUGGAAUUAUUGGGCGUAAAGAGCUCGUAGGCGGCCUGUUGCGUCCGCUGUGAAAUCCCGGGGCUCAACCCUGGGCGUGCAGUGGAUACGGGCAGGCUGGAGGCAGGCAGGGGAGAACGGAAUUCCCGGUGUAGCGGUGAAAUGCGCAGAUAUCAGGAGGAACACCGGUGGCGAAGGCGGGUCUCUGGGCAGUAACUGACGCUGAGGAGCGAAAGCGUGGGGAGCGAACAGG
rnacentral:rRNA from 1 species